rnacentral:rRNA from 1 species
AUUGAACGCUGACGGCGUGCCUUACACAUGCAAGUCGAACGGUAACAGGUCUUCGGAUGCUGACGAGUGACGAACGGGUGAGUAAUACAUCGGAACGUGCCUAGUAGUGGGGGAUAACUACUCGAAAGAGUGGCUAAUACCGCAUGAGAUCUACGGAUGAAAGCAGGGGAUCGCAAGACCUUGUGCUACUAGAGCGGCCGAUGGCAGAUUAGGUAGUUGGUGGGAUAAAAGCUUACCAAGCCGAAGAUCUGUAGCUGGUCUGAGAGGACGAUCAGCCACACUGGGACUGAGACACGGCCCAGACUCCUACGGGAGGCAGCAGUGGGGAAUUUUGGACAAUGGGCGCAAGCCUGAUCCAGCAAUGCCGCGUGCAGGAUGAAGGCCUUCGGGUUGUAAACUGCUUUUGUACGGAACGAAAAGCCCCGGGUUAAUACCCUGGGGUCAUGACGGUACCGUAAGAAUAAGCACCGGCUAACUACGUGCCAGCAGCCGCAGUAA